rnacentral:lncRNA from 1 species
CGAUCACAUAUCAACGGAUUGCAAAUGGGCGGAACAAGUCGUCAAGUCAGGCUCACCAUAAGAGACUUGGUCUACACAUGCUACCGCACUAACGGCCUGCUUGCAAGACACCCCCUCACGCUUGCCAGCAUCCUUAUUAUUCGGUCGGGUCGUGUUUAAACUAGACGUCUUCUCCUGCAGUCGAGCCAUCUGCUCCUGCAGGUGGCGAAGGCAGUCCUUCUUAUGCUCGUCCCAAGUCUGGUUUGCCGGCUUGAGGCGAGAUCACACCCAGCACUUGAGAAGGGUACCGGAUGUUGACAUCCUCUGUUUCUUUGUGCGGACCGUUUCCCAAGCCUGUUUGGGAGGGGACCGAGGGUGAGAAUGCUUAGGGUGAGAGGAGGAAGUAAUCUUAGACGGGCCAGCUUGCGUAGUAACCACAGCAAGCUGUGCUUUGUCCUUUCCGGCUUUCCACCUCCUGACCGCUAGCAUAUAGGAUGAGUUUCUCUAAAUAAGCCCUUAAUAUACCAAGAGAUUUGAUCCGCAACACUCAUAUCAUUCGCUUCACGAACAAUAUCGUAAAAGCGCUGCGUAUACUCUGGUACAGACUCGUCUAUUUUCAUAUCAUACUCAUGCACAUGCAAACGAUUGCGUGUGGCCAUCACGGUGUCGUGCUUUGCAUCCUCAUAUUGCAACAGGAAUUUAUCACACAACAAAUCGCGGGUAAGUGGUUGCGUGCCGGACUUGUGCUUAAGGAAAAGAUC